CAUUAGGCCUUCCCUCUCUUUUUUGUUUACCCUGGACCCUCCCUCCGAAGUCCCCGCUCUCUAAACUGCACCCUCUCUCAGUUGAAACCUCCACCAUCCCUCCCUUUGUUGUCCCUCGUUCCCAAGUUCCCGCUCUCUCAAAUGGUUUCAAUAACCUCACUCAAGUUCUCCGUAGUUCAAUUGGUUGAAUCAACCUCCUAAAUCCUUCAGCAUGGGCUGGUUCGAUGAUGAGUUGAUUACUAUGCUUGAAGAAGCGAUUCAAGUUCAUCACUUCGCUCACUUCACUCUUCAAUUCGCUAUUGCGUUCUGCAAUUAGCAGUUUUGCAGUUUUGUUAUCUUCUUGGUCUUUGUCUGUUUGUGAGGUUUGGCAAGUUGAUGGAUGGAAGGUUUGUUUGGUUCCAGAAUACAUGGUGGAUCAGCCGCCUUGAUGUUUACGUUGCUACUAGACAUUGGUUGGCUGGUAAUUUUCUAUUAUUGUUUUUUUUCUUGAUUGAUUAUAUUUGUGGGUGUGAAUUGAUUGUGUUUGGGUUAAAUAUAACAUCACAGAAUGUGAUCAGCAGCAGCCACAGCUACAGCCACCUGAUCCUGAUGACAACCAACUGUGUCAGCUCAGCAUAAAGUAGUUAUUAAGUUUGUUACUGAUAUUUUCAGUUAGCUUGUAAUUCAGUUAGUUUGUUAGCUCCUUUUUCUUUCUGUUAUUAGCUAGUUUUUCUUAUCUCAUUAUUGUAUAAAUAGAACACUUGAUGUAGUUAGUUUCAUUCAUUCAGAAAAUAUAGCAUUCUGCAUUUGUAAAUACUCUCUCAAAUAAUAUGAAUUAGUUCUAAGCCUGAGCUCCCAAUGUAGAGCAGUGAAGGAGAAAAAUCUGGUGUGUUUCCAUUGUUAUUUCUUGCUGUGUUUUUCAUUU